rnacentral:lncRNA from 1 species
UUCAAAUCGCGGGACGGCGAUGCAAGUCCGGCACGAUGACCCGGCCAACCUUCAAGUCCGGCACCACGGCGACGGACGACGGACCGUUCAUAACUUGACUUGCAAAUCCUUGUUUGGUAACCAUUAAUACCAAACCUAGCCGGAAUCUGGUUGCCGGGGGAUCACGCCAUCACGGGACCUUCCUGUGGUUUCGUUGUGUAGCACCACCCGUUCAGAUCCACCGCUUACGUCGGAGAUACCACAUUUUUUUUGCUUUUAUGAAAGAUUUUGAAAUGGUUUUUUUUUUUGUUUGUUUAUUUAGUAACCGAUAGGGUUCCUCUUCUAAUCAUUUUUUUUUCUAAUCAUCAGCUUGCAGUUUUUAGUCUGUUGAAGAAAUUGAUGGGAAAAGCUUCAUCUUUCUUUGUUAAAGGAGUUUUUUAAAUGGGUUUGAUCUGAAACUUAAGGACUUUGAAACCGCAGUUGCGGAUGGAAAAGAAAACAAUAUGAUCUAGAACCGAUUUGAUUAAGUACGACAAUUUGUCGGAGAAAAUAAAGAUUUGUGGGUGUGGAGGAUGCGUAUUUGUAGUAUGACGGUAGACGGUUGUUGGCGGUUAUGAUAAAGGAACGCGACCCGCCUAUUUUUACGUAAAGUGUGUAUUGAAAAGGGCCAAAGACCAAUACAAAAGUGCCACAUGGACGAAACGUUAAAAUCAAACGGGUGCCUCUAGUAAAACGUUACGGUGGUGUGUUAAAGCAAUUGAAGUUUCCUUUAAAUUCCAACCGGUGUGAGUUGCUUUGGUAGAUCAUGGAGAGGGACAUGAUGUUUAAACAUACCUUAAGUUGGUUUUUGUAUAUAUAGAUAAUAUGAUAUAUGGCUAGAUCAAAUACAAAAUCUCCUAAAAAUAAAAGUCAUAAGAAGGGUAACAAACGAAUUCUUAUUGACCUCAUUCAAGCGGCAUUAGAACCGUCUCAUCGAACUCUACGAUGUGAAAUUUUAAGUUUUUAUUUUUAGAUGUUUAGCUUGUAGAUUUUAAUUUUUUUUGUUUACAUCAUUGUGUUUUUUAUUUAUUAUUGUGUCUUUUCUAUAUUUGCAUCAUUAUCUUUUUUUUUGU